UAUAAAGUACAGACUACAGACUCAAUAUAGUCUUUUGAUCAGUGUUGGAAAACGCAUAUAUGAGGCACAUGCCUCAGGACCUCUGAAGGCAAAAGGAGGGCAACAUCUGAGGUACACCAAGGCAUGCCUCACAGCCUCAGUUAUGUACCAGGUAUGCAGUGUUUUUUCCCUCUUUUCUUUCUCAAUUUUGACCUAAUCUCAUCUGUUCUCCUCUAAAUCUUUUUUUUUUAUCCCUUUUACCCUUUUCCUUUGGAGACAGCUGAUGGUGAUGGGGAAAGUGGGGGAAAAAAGAUUUAGAAGAGAGCACUGUCAUCAGCUACUGCUGCCUCUGGGCUUCAAAAUUGAAGCAGGUGCUCUCCCUCUCCCCAUCUUCACCCCACACACUUGGGUUGCAGCAGUCCGCCUUUUUUCCUUUAAUUUGUCUUGAGUGCACCUAUGAAUAAUUAUUCUCCACUUCCAUGCUCUCUCACUCUGUCUAUUUUAUACAUAUAUAUAUAUAUAUAUAUAUUAGAAAAGAGACAUUAACAAACCUAACGGGAAAAAAAAUCAAGUUCAUUAGUAGCUGAAUUAAGAUUUAGUAAAUAACUUAGAUUUAUCAUUUAUUUAAUAGUUAAAAUUAGAGUUUUUAAGAUAUCUAUAAUAGUUUAGUUUAUCUUCUUUGGAUUGAAUAACUAGUUAAUGUUUUUUCCUAUGCUUAUUAAUGUUAUUGAUAAUUUUGAUAGUUCGUUUAAAUUGAGCUAAUCUACGAUCACUUGACUUUAUUUAUUUAUUUAUUUUUGCAUCUCACCUUAUUCAGGUGUGCACUUGCACUUUACACAUAGGCCCCAAAGAUCCAUUUGUGCUUUGAUAUCUAGGUUCCGAUGACAGAGAUGAGGUCUACUAACAAUUGGACACAUGACUUCAUGAGAAAGGACUAAAUACCUGGUGAUUUAAUGAAAGUUUCCAAUAAAUUCACCAGUGUGUGUAUAUAGUGUGCCUGUAUCUGUGCAUGUGAGUAAUAUGCAUUCACUUAAUGUGUCCAAAAGAGAUUAGAAAACUUCAAAACCAGCAUAAGAUGAAAGAAAAAUGAGCAAGUCUUUUUUAAAAAAAUAAAAAUAAUGUCAGCACAAGUCUUGGGUAACAAUUGAGAAGUGAGAAAGAGGAAAGUACAGAAAAGAACCAAAAUUAAAAAGGAAAGAUGCUGGAAAGAGAAGUCACAUAAUAACCAUACAAACAUGUGAUUUCAGCCGCCCUAUGAAUUUCUUCAAUUGAAAAGUUGCAUAACAUAAAAAUAA
rnacentral:lncRNA from 1 species